UGGGGUAUUUUGCACAAUGGGGGAAACCCUGAUGCAGCGACGCCGCGUGAUUUAGAAGGCCUUCGGGUUGUAAAAAUCUUUUCUAUGGGAAGAAAAUGACAGUACCAUAGGAAUAAGGACCGGCUAAUUACGUGCCAGCAGCCGCGGUAAUACGUAAGGUCCGAGCGUUGUCCGGAAUCAUUGGGCGUAAAGGGUACGUAGGCGGGUAAGCAAGUUAGAAGUGAAAUCCUAUAGCUCAACUAUAGUAAGCUUUUAAAACUGCUCAUCUUGAGGUAUGGAAGGGAAAGUGGAAUUCCUAGUGUAGCGGUGAAAUGCGCAGAUAUUAGGAGGAAUACCGGUGGCGAAGGCGACUUUCUGGCCAUAACCUGACGCUGAGGUACGAAAGCGUGGGUAGCAAACAGG
rnacentral:rRNA from 1 species